rnacentral:pre_miRNA from 1 species
UCUUAUAAGUUAGCGAAGAAAGUGGUUUCUUGAGAUGGAAUCUACUCCUGCUGAAGGUGCUGUGAA